rnacentral:rRNA from 1 species
AGCAGCCGCGGUAAUUCCAGCUCCAAUAGCGUAUAUUAAAGUUGUUGCAGUUAAAAAGCUCGUAGUUGAAUUUCGGGAUCGACGGGUCGGUCGCGCCUCUGGUGUGUACUGGCCCUGUCGGUUUCUCCCUUCUGACGAACCACGAUGUCAUUAAUUUGGUGUCGUGGGAAAUCAGGACUGUUACUUUGAAAAAAUUAGAGUGUUUAAAGCAGGCAUUCGCUUGAAUACAUUAGCAUGGAAUAAUGAAAUAGGACGUUUGAUCUUAUUUUGUUGGUUUCUAAGAUCGACGUAAUGAUUAAUAGGGAUAGUUGGGGGCAUUAGUAUUCAAUUGUCAGAGGUGAAAUUCUUGGAUUUAUUGAAGACCAACUACUGCGAAAGCAUUUGCCAAGGAUGUUUUCAUUAAUCAAGAACGAAAGUUAGGGGAUCGAAGACGAUCAGAUACCGUCGUAGUCUUAACCAUAAACUAUGCCGACUAGGGAUCGGAUGAUGUUAAUUUUUAAUGACUCAUUCGGCGCCUUAC